ensembl:antisense Gm27011 predicted gene, 27011
GUGGGCUGCGGAAUUCUCGUGGUGUUUGUCGGGGAGCUGCGAUAAUGGCGUCCGUCCUCGCGAGAGAAGCAGCCGCUCUGCGCAGGCGCCGCGAGCGCCUCCCCACGGCCUGCGCCCCGCCCUCAGCGCAGGCUCCCUGGGCUCCCGGCUCGAGGGCGGGGCCGGUCGGGAAGGGGGCGGGGCCUGCUCUGGGCGCCUCUGGCGCGCGCUUUCGCCGACGGACUCCAACGAGCAUGCGCAGUUGUCCUCCCCUGCUCCGAGAGUUGACUCGCUGGGCCCUUACUUCCCCAUCUCACGUCCAUGUUACUUGCUAAAGCAGUAAAUCCUCCAGUGUUCAAUCUGAGGAAUGUACGUCCUCUUUGAUGGGUGUGAACACACUAACGCUGCCCUGACGACUACAAAUCCCAGUGUGCGCUGUGUGUGGCACGAUGCGUCCUGGGACUGGUAGUCUCUGCGGCCAUGAUUUGCCUGCUGGGAUUUGUAGUCCAUCCGGAUUCUGGCUGCCCCAUGCCUUCCCUGCCCUGAGGGCUGCUGGGACUUGUAGUGUCAGCGGCUCAAAUGGGCUGUACGCUCCCAAACCCGUCCUACCUACUCUACCUGGCAUCGGUCUCAGACGUUCCGGGCUCGUUCAGUGGCAUUGUCUGGAAAGUUGCCUGACUUCCUUAUGGACAAGCUGGUCGUGGGGACACUGUCACUGUGAUAGAGAUUAUAUGUGACAUGCUUACGUAUCAUGCAAUAGGAGCUAUGCAGCAUCGAUGUGCAUUUGUUGCCAGAAAUGCCACUAAUGGUUCUCUGCACCUGGUCUGUCGUCAGUGUUCCUUUCCAGGCUGUCCCCUUCUGCAUGUUCGCAGUGAGCAAUCCUACAAACCGGGAUUACAGGAGUUAUUUUCACUUAGAAAACUAAACAAAACAAAAACCUGUUUCCUGCCCGUUCCCCUGUGCCGAUAAUAAAGCCAUGACUCAGUGCAGCUA